GCAAACGGGUGCGUAACACGUGAGCAAUCUGCCCUUAAGACCGGAAUAGCCCAGGGAAACUUGGAUUAAUACCGGAUGUGGAGGAGUCAGGCAUCUGACUUCUUCCAGAGCUUGUAACGGCGCUUAAGGAGGAGCUCGCGGCCUAUCAGCUAGUUGGCGAGGUAACGGCUCACCAAGGCUAAGACGGGUAACUGGUCUGAGAGGACGACCAGCCACACUGGGACUGAGACACGGCCCAGACUCC
rnacentral:rRNA from 1 species